GCCAGGCACAGUAGCGCAUGCCUGUAGUCCCAGCUACUCGGAAGGCUGAGGCUGGAGGAUCACUUGAGUCCAGGAGUUCUGGGCUGUAGCGCACUCUGCCGAUCAGGUGUCUGCACUAAGUGUGGCAUCAAUAUGGUGACCUCCUGGGAGCAGAAGACCAUCAGGUUGCCUAAGGAGGGGUGAACCAGCCCAGGUUGGAAACGGAGCAGGUCAAAACUCCCAUGCUGAUCAGUAGUGGGACUGCGCCUGUGGAUGCCACUGCACUCCAGCCUGGGCAACAUAGCGAGACCCCAUCUCU
rnacentral:SRP_RNA from 1 species